UUGAACGCUGGCGGCAUGCUUUACACAUGCAAGUCGAACGGUAGACCCUUUCGGGGGUUGAGAGUGGCGAACGGGUGAGUAACAUAUCGGAACGUACCCAGACGUGGGGGAUAACACAUCGAAAGAUGUGCUAAUACCGCAUACGACCUGAGGGUGAAAGGGGGGGAUCGCAAGACCUCUCGCGUUUGGAGCGGCCGAUAUCGGAUUAGCUAGUUGGUGGGGUAAAGGCUCACCAAGGCGACGAUCCGUAGCUGGUCUGAGAGGACGACCAGCCACACUGGAACUGAGACACGGUCCAGACUCCUACGGGAGGCAGCAGUGGGGAAUUUUGGACAAUGGGGGCAACCCUGAUCCAGCCAUUCCGCGUGAGUGAAGAAGGCCUUCGGGUUGUAAAGCUCUUUCGGCAGGAACGAAACGGUGGAGGCUAAUAUCCUUCAUCAAUGACGGUACCUGAAGAAGAAGCACCGGCUAACUACGU
rnacentral:rRNA from 1 species